AUUUGAACUAAUCAAGUUCGAACUCGAAGUAACUCGACGACCUGCUCUUAAAUUAUUUAAAGCCGUUCAUUGUGUUGUAUUUUAAAUAUAAAAAAUAGAUAAUACACAUAUUAUAAACUUUUAUUUUGUAGAACAUAGAUUUCAAUUUUAAUUGAUAGAGCUCCCAAUGUAACUCAAUCUUGACAAAAAAGAAAAAAAAAAAAAAAAACUAUGUAUUAGUCCAUCUUUCUCUCUCCCGACUCUGCAAAGAUCUCCUCCGGCUAAGAAUAUCGGCAGGUACCUUUGUGUCAUUUGAGUAAGCUAAUCCUGUAAAAAAAAUACUAUUCUAGUUGAAAUCUGGAAAGGGAAAUUUUCGACUAGAAUAUUUCAAGCAAUUAGCUAGGUUUGAAAGAAACCAUUGUUUGAUGGCGUUGAGACGUGCUCUUGGGUGGUCUGAUGGUGAGCUCAUGCGAUCAGAUGCGAAGCCUUGCUCAAGAUUAAUGAGAUAAACAGCUGGAAUUUUUACAGUUGGUGGAGCAUUGGGUUUUUGGGUCUUGUGUAGAAUGCACUAUGGAUCAAGAGUAACAAUUCCCAGAAGUCUAAGAUAGGCGGCUUGUGGAGCUGUUUCUGUUAGCUCAACAACGGCUCUUCUGGUCCGCCUUUUCAGUCCUGAAUGCGAACCCCAGAACAUAGUUUCUUAUGACAAUAAAAGCUGAGUUCCUUUUUAAAAUCAAUGUAAGAUGUAUGUUAUCCCUUGUAUGGGACAAUCAUGCAACAAACUUCUGAUGCAUAGUCACUCAAUGUGA